AAAUUCUGUCUGGAGUUUCCCCAUUUAGUUUUGAUAGAAGAAUGUGUUGGUUUCAACAAAUGUUCACCUUUGGAGACAAAGCAAAGAUAUUUUUAAAGAAGAAAUUCCAUUGGAAAAUUCUACGGGUAAUUAUCUAAGUAACAAUAAUUGAUUAAAACUAAAUUAACAACUAAUUAAUACCCAUUCUCAGAAACUGUAUGUGAUGAUAUAGUGGAUCUGACCAAGUAAACUGUUGCAACUAUAGUUACUCUUAUACCAGCCGUGAAUAUAGAAUGUGCCAUUUUUACAGGUACCUAUUCAAUUAACUAACAAUAAUA